rnacentral:rRNA from 1 species
AACGAACGCUGGCGGCAGGCCUAACACAUGCAAGUCGAGCGGACCCUUCGGGGUUAGCGGCGGACGGGUGAGUAACACGUGGGAAUAUGCCCUUCUCUACGGAAUAGUCCUGGGAAACUGGGGGUAAUACCGUAUACGCCCUUUGGGGGAAAGAUUUAUCGGGGAAGGAUUAGCCCGCGUUGGAUUAGGUAGUUGGUGGGGUAAUGGCCUACCAAGCCGACGAUCCAUAGCUGGUUUGAGAGGAUGAUCAGCCACACUGGGACUGAGACACGGCCCAGACUCCUACGGGAGGCAGCAGUGGGGAAUCUUAGACAAUGGGGGCAACCCUGAUCGAGCCAUGCCGCGUGAGUGAUGAAGGCCUUAGGGUUGUAAAGCUCUUUCAGCUGGGAAGAUAAUGACGGUACCAGCAGAAGAAGCCCCGGCUAACUCCGUG